AUCUUCAGGGCGGGGUGCGAUUCCCCACCGGCAGUGAAAGCCUGCUACCCGCGAGAGCGGUUGACCCGGUGUGAUUCCGGGGCCGACGGUAUAGUCCGGAUGGAAGAAGAUA
rnacentral:ncRNA from 1 species